rnacentral:rRNA from 1 species
AUUGAACGCUGGCGGCAGGCCUAACACAUGCAAGUCGAACGAGUGGCGGACGGGUGAGUAAUGUCUGGGCAACUGCCUGAUGGAGGGGGAUAACUACUGGAAACGGUAGCUAAUACCGCAUACUAUCGGAUGUGCCCAUAUGGGAUUAGCUAGUAGGUGGGGUAAAGGCUCACCUAGGCGACGAUCCCUAGCUGGUCUGAGAGGAUGACCAGCCACACUGGAACUGAGACAGGGCCCAGACUCCUACGGGAGGAAGAAGUGGGGAAUAUUGGACAAUGGGCGCAAGCCUGAUGCAGCCAUGCCGGGUGUAUGAAGAAGGCCUUAGGGUUGUAAAGUACUUUCAGCGGGGAGGCGUUACCCGCAGAAGAAGCACCGGCUAACUCCGUGCCAGCAGCCGCGGUAAUUC